UCGAGAAUCUUCGGCAAUGGGCGAAAGCCUGACCGAGCGACGCCGCGUGCGGGAUGAAGGUCUUCGGAUUGUAAACCGCUGUCAGAGGGGAUGAAGUUAUGGUGGGUUCUCCCUCCAUAUUGACAGAGCCUCAGAGGAAGCACGGGCUAAGUAUGUGCCAGCAGCCGCGGUAAUACAUACUGUGCGAACGUUAUUCGGAUUCACUGGGCUUAAAGGGUGCGUAGGCGGCUUGUUAAGUAGGGUGUGAAAGCCCCCAGCUCAACUGGGGAACUGCACUCUAUACUGGCGAGCUGGAGUGAGAUAGGGGUGUGUGGAACUGCCAGUGGAGCGGUGAAAUGUGUUGAUAUUGGCAGGAACGCCGGUGGCGAAAGCGACACACUGGGUCUCAACUGACGCUGAGGCACGAAAGCCAGGGGAGCGAACGG
rnacentral:rRNA from 1 species